UUCAAGAAGAAGAAGAAGAAGAAGAAGACGACGACCUCUACGACUGCCGUUCAGUUGCAGUUACUGGUCAGAUAUGGCGGCGUGUGAGACGUUAAUCCGCUGUCAUCCUCCUUCUGCGGUUCUAAAUCUGAACUUUGUAACGACCUGACUUGUUUGCAGGAAGAUGGCGCCGUUCUCAGCGGUAAACAGAUGGCUUUUAAACGCCAUUUACUGAUGUUUUUCAGUGACUUUGCUGCAGCCGUUUCCAGCGAGGCUGAGCCUGCCGUGGUUCUGUCCUUUCCUACACGGUUUGCUACAGAGAAGUGAGGCAGUUUGAGGCCCUACUGCGGCUUUUCCCGGCAGGGUUUUAGGUGAUUCUGUCGGACUGUGUUGGACUCGGCUGAGAUGAUGGAGGAUGAACUGGUAAGGCUCUUCCUUCAUGCAGCUGCUGUGGUUCUGUCCUGUGCUGCGGCGCCACCUGCAGGCUGAUUGGCGUUUCUGCAGGAGGAGCUUCUUUCUGAUUGGUCGGCUGCUCUGGCAGCGGUUGAUCGGGUCUGGUUGACUUCCUGCUGAAACAUCAGGCCUGAUCCAACGAUCUGGAUAAAUACAGUAUAAAUAAAGUUUAUAUGUAAAUCUAAUGUAAUAGAUGUUUGUGGACAAAUCUGCAUUAAACUGAUCAUAUGUAUUUUAAUAUAAAGCUAUAGAAGAAUAAUAAAUGGUGGGAAAUAAAACAUAGCUGAAAUGAUGGAUUUUUAUGUUGAAAAA